rnacentral:rRNA from 1 species
GACGAACGCUGGCGGCGUGCUUAACACAUGCAAGUCGAACGGAAAGGCCCUGCUUUUGUGGGGUGCUCGAGUGGCGAACGGGUGAGUAACACGUGAGUAACCUGCCCUUGACUUUGGGAUAACUUCAGGAAACUGGGGCUAAUACCGGAUAGGAGCUCCUGCUGCAUGGUGGGGGUUGGAAAGUUUCGGCGGUUGGGGAUGGACUCGCGGCUUAUCAGCUUGUUGGUUGGGUAGUGGAUUACCAAGGCUUUGACGGGUAGCCGGCCUGAGAGGGUGACCGGCCACAUUGGAACUGAGCUACGGCCCGGACUCCUACGGGAGGCAGCAGUGGGGAAUAUUGCACGAUGGGCGGAAGCCUGAUGCAGCAACGCCGCGUGCGGGAUGACGGCCUUCGGGUUGUAACCCGCUUUCGCCUGUGACGAAGCGUGAGUGACGGUAAUGGGUAAAGAAGCACCGGCUAACUACGUG